rnacentral:piRNA from 1 species
GUAGGAAGAUUUUUGAGGU